CCUACGGGGGGCAGCAGUGGGGAAUAUUGGACAAUGGGGGGAACCCUGAUCCAGCCAUGCCGCGUGUGUGAAGAAGGCCCUCGGGUUGUAAAGCACUUUCAGUGAGGAAGAACGCCUGGUGGUUAAUACCCAUCAGGAAAGACAUCACUCACAGAAGAAGCACCGGCUAACUCCGUGCCAGCAGCCGCGGUAAUACGGAGGGUGCGAGCGCUAAUCGGAAUUACUGGGCGUAAAGCGCGCGUAGGUGGCUUGAUAAGCCGGUUGUGAAAGCCCCGGGCUCAACCUGGGAACGGCAUCCGGAACUGUCAAGCUAGAGUGCAGGAGAGGAAGGUAGAAUUCCCGGUGUAGCGGUGAAAUGCGUAGAGAUCGGGAGGAAUACCAGUGGCGAAGGCGGCCUUCUGGACUGACACUGACACUGAGGUGCGAAAGCGUGGGUAGCAAACAGGAUUAGAUACCCUAGUAGUC
rnacentral:rRNA from 1 species